UGGGGAAUAUUGCACAAUGGGCGCAAGCCUGAUGCAGCCAUGCCGCGUGUAUGAAGAAGGCCUUCGGGUUGCAAAGUACUUUCAGUCGGGAGGAAGGUGGUAAGGUUAAUAACCUUAUCAAUUGACGUUACCGACAGAAGAAGCACCGGCUAACUCCGUGCCAGCAGCCGCGGUAAUACGGAGGGUGCAAGCGUUAAUCGGAAUUACUGGGCGUAAAGCGCACGCAGGCGGUUGAUUGAGUCAGAUGUGAAAUCCCCGGGCUUAACCCGGGAAUUGCAUCUGAUACUGGUCAGCUAGAGUCUUGUAGAGGGGGGUAGAAUUCCAUGUGUAGCGGUGAAAUGCGUAGAGAUGUGGAGGAAUACCGGUGGCGAAGGCGGCCCCCUGGACAAAGACUGACGCUCAGGUGCGAAAGCGUGGGGAGCAAACAGG
rnacentral:rRNA from 1 species